UACGUAGGGUGCGAGCGUUGUCCGGAAUUACUGGGCGUAAAGAGCUCGUAGGCGGCUUGUUGCGUCAGCUGUGAAAACCCGCAGCUCAACUGUGGGCUUGCAGCUGAUACGGGCAGGCUUGAGUUCGGUAGGGGAGACUGGAAUUCCUGGUGUAGCGGUGAAAUGCGCAGAUAUCAGGAGGAACACCAGUGGCGAAGGCGACUACCUGGCCUGUUCUUGACGCUGAGGCGCGAAAGCUAGGGGGAGCAAAACGGGG
rnacentral:rRNA from 1 species